AGUUGCAGGAGACGGCGACGGUGGACGUGCUGAGUGACGACUGGGGACAACUGGGGCUGGUGGACCGCUCAGCUGCCUUACUGCUCAAGCCGCUUCACCAUGCCGGGCAGGUCCUCUCCCCAGGCUAAGGACGAGAUGGAAGACGAGGAAGAAGAGGAUGAAGAACAGUCGUCCCCAGACAUACUAAAGCUGCAGAUGUUACAG